AGGUCGGACUAGCCUUCAGGCCUUGUACCCAUGUCCACCUUGGCAUGGCCUCCCCACUACCCCCUCGUUAGCCUAUCUCCUUCCACACGGUAGCCAUCAUGGCACUGACUCCAGCGUGCCACCACACAUCAGAGCAGAAUACAACAGGCUGUCACUGCCUAACAGAACUAACGGAAACCACGUGGACCUCAACUGCACAGGGAUUCUUAGAGGGGAAAGAAAAAGGCCAUUCCUGAGGGUUCCGAGGAAGGAACCGCCACGAAAGGGUGGAUGUUACAGAGACCAGCAUGAAGCAUCCACCAGCGACAUGGGCGGUGAUGCUGGUAACGAGCUCACCAUCGGGAAAACAUGCAAGAAGAGCCCAGGAUACUCAGGCCCUCGGCAUCCAUGUCAUGCUGUGAUGCAUCCCAUAGAGCUCAGCCUUCCUGGUUCUAUUCCUUAGGAACUCGUGACUAUUUAGAUGAGUCCUCAGGUUUUAUUCUCAGUUAAUAAACUGAAUUUUCC
rnacentral:lncRNA from 1 species